CCCGUGUGGGGUAGCCGUAGCGAAAGCGAGUCCGAAUAGGGCGUUGUAGUCGCGUGCUCUAGACCCGAAGCGGAGUGAUCUACCCAUGGCCAGGUUGAAGCGCGGGUAAGACCGUGUGGAGGACCGAACCCACCAGGGUUGAAAACCUGGGGGAUGAGCUGUGGGUAGGGGUGAAAGGCCAAUCAAACUCCGUGAUAGCUGGUUCUCCCCGAAAUGCAUUUAGGUGCAGCGUCACGUGUUUCUUGCCGGAGGUAGAGCUACUGGAUGGCCGAUGGGCCCUACAAGGUUACUGACGUCAGCCAAACUCCGAAUGCCGGUAAGUGAGAGCGUGGCAGUGAGACUGCGGGGGAUAAGCUCCGUAGUCGAGAGGGAAACAGCCCAGAACACCAGCUAAGGCCCCUAAGCGUGUGCUAAGUGGGAAAGGAUGUGGAGUUGCACAGACAACCAGGAGGUUGGCUUAGAAGCAGCCACCCUUUAAAGAGUGCGUAAUAGCUCACUGGUCAAGUGAUUCCGCGCCGAC
rnacentral:rRNA from 1 species